AACGAACGCUGGCGGCAGGCUUAACACAUGCAAGUCGAGCGCCCCGCAAGGGGGGCGGCAGACGGGUGAGUAACGCGUGGGAAUCUACCCAUCUCUACGGAAUAACGCAUGGAAACGUGUGCUAAUACCGUAUACGUCAUUCGGGAGAAAGAUUUAUCGGAGAUGGAUGAGCCCGCGUUGGAUUAGCUAGUUGGUGGGGUAAAGGCCUACCAAGGCGACGAUCCAUAGCUGGUCUGAGAGGAUGAUCAGCCACACUGGGACUGAGACACGGCCCAGACUCCUACGGGAGGCAGCAGUGGGGAAUAUUGGACAAUGGGCGCAAGCCUGAUCCAGCCAUGCCGCGUGAGUGAUGAAGGCCCUAGGGUUGUAAAGCUCUUUCACCGAUGAAGAUAAUGACGGUAACCGGAGAAGAAGCCCCGGCUAACUUCGUGCCAGCCGCCGCCGUAACAC
rnacentral:rRNA from 1 species